rnacentral:lncRNA from 1 species
AAAAUUUGUUAGGACACUUAACCACGGUCUGGAGUUUAGAAAGUGUUAAAUCGAUACGUAAUUUGCAUGUAAUCUUCAGGCAACUAAUGUCGUUAUGUAUGUUAUAUAUCGGGUAAUAUGAUGUUCCACACCAAAUCCAAAUGGGAUCUCACAAUUAUUAUGCAAAUGCUAUUUAUACAGAAUACAGAUUAGGACUUAACUUAUUUCUGAAUAAAAUUAGAGUCAUGUUUUAAUUAGUUAAAUGCUGGCGGAAGAAUAAAUUUUGGUACUGCUAUAUUAGAAUGGUCAAAUCCGCAAGUAAAAGGGAAAGAAAAAAGAAUAUCAAACACAAGAUAUCCAAGCAGAGAAUACUUUUCAAAAUCCGUAUAGGCAAUACAUACAGAAAUACAUAUAGGCAUAUAUUUAUAUAUAUGUAUAUAUACAAUGAAUAUAUAUAUAUAUAGUCAUCUAUCAACUUUACAUUCGGUAAUCAGUAGUGUGUGUAUGUAUACACGCAAAUAUUCAUAGAUAUGCAUAUAUAUUACCAUAUAUCUAUGCAUACAUAUACCUAUAUACAUACAUACAUAUAUAUAUAUAUAUGCAUAUAUAUAUGCAUAAAUGAAUGUGUGUGUGGUACAUGUAUCAUCAUAAUACACGAAUUUCUCAGCAUUGCUGAUAUUUACAUAGGAAAAUAUUUGGGUGCAACACAUCCACAUCUGCACAAUUUACCAUGAAUACAUGUGACUGAUGACAAGAAUUCCCCAUACAAACGUAUUGAAGCGUACGGAUAGUACUACUCGUUGCAAGCAAAUAUAUAUAUAUAUAUAUAUUAUCUCCACUACUUUAUUAUCUCCCCUUCUUCCCUGUUCUCUUGUGUGAACCCUCUGUCCGGCAUUCGCCAUGAUAGAUCGCUAGCCACUACCAAUUCUUUAUUUUCUCUCCUUGUAUCUUUCUGUCUUCCUUUCUGUGGAAUGCGUGGGCGCAAAACCUUAAAGACUUUUUCUCUUCCGGAGCGUUAAACUAAUAGAUCUGUAUGUUGUCUACUUCACCUGUCUUCGCCUUUGUUUUUUUUUUGUUUUGUGAAUUCUCCCUAUAUAUAUAUGUGUGUGUGUGUGUGUGUUUGUGCAUGUGUGCGUGUGUGUGUAAGGAGAGAGAGAGAGAGAGAGAGAGAGAGAGAGAGGAAGUUGAUUAUAUGGACCCCAGUAAGCAACUGGUACUUAAUUUCAUCGACCCCGAAAGGAGGAAAGGUAAAGUCGACCUCGACGGAAUUUGAGCUCAGACUGUAAGGACCGACGAAAUACCUAUUUCUUUACUACCCACAAGGGGCUAAACACAGAGAGAACAAACAAGAACAGACAAACGGAUUAAGUCGAUUGCAUCGACCCCAGUGUGUAACUGGUACUUAAUUUAUCGACCCCGAAAGGAUGAGAGGCAAAGUCGACCUCAGCACAAUUUGAACUCAGAACGUAACGGCAGACGAAAUACCGCUAAGAAUUUCGCCCGGCAUGCUAACGUUUCUGCCAGCUCGACUUCUUAUUCAUGCUAAUAUAAUACCAGCCUGAAGAUGAACCUAUGAAAAUCUAGAAAUGUUGAAAAUGAAUUUAGAAACUGAACUUUUUACAAAAAAAACCUCAAACGACUAAUAGGAAAAUGUAAACAAAAAUGAAAAAGUCCUAUUUAAAGAAAAUAGAAUUAGAUUACAGUUGCGUUUUUAAUACAGGUUUAAUAUAUAUAUACAUAUAUAUAUGUAUUAUAUAUAUGUAUAUAUAUAUAUAUAUAUAUAUAUAUAUAUAUAUGUAUAUGUAUGUAUGUAUGUAUGUAUAUGUAUAUAUAUUCAUAAUACUCAUGAAUACAUUAUAUACUGAUAUACGUGCAUAUAUAUAAAUACAUAUAUACGUAUAUAUAUAUGUAUAUAUAUAUAUAUGCAUGUAUGUAUGUAUAUGUAUGUAUAAGCAUAUGCAUAUUUAAGUGUAUAAAUACAAAGGUAUAUUCACACACACGCACAGAUGCAUACAUAUAUUCAAGUAUAGUCACUGACCUGAUUAACGUAAUGCUAAAAAAGAAAUUGCUAAUUAAGAAAAAAAUUUCUGAAGUGAAGACAAUUCGAAUGCUUACAAUCUAAAAUUAGAUAACCAAUCAACGAAGUACUUUGCUCAAAUAGUAAUCCAUUUACUCUCGUUCGCAUGCACAUACAUAUAUGGGCUACAUUCACGCCAGACCGCACACACAUACACACACAUGCACACACACACUCACACACACAGAUGCACAUACAUCUUUAAGUCUGAAGCUCUCAUUAAUCAUUAAUGCUUUUUUCUUCCCUCGACUUGUAGACACAAUCGUAUAAUACUUUUAGGCCUUUCUAUUCCUAUGCCAUAAUGAUUAUUUCAUUAAUCUAAAAAUAUGCUUGAUACUUCAUUUUACAUAUGGUCUGCUUCUUCUGAAUAUCUUAUACAUACAGCUGGUAUGUUGUAUAAGUAAUAUUUUAUCUGACUCUUCAUGAAGGAAUACAGGAAUGGAUGUGUUAUUAACAUACAGCCUGUUUAUGUUGUAUAUCGCAAUUAUUUUAUAUAACUCUUCAUAAAAAUAAAUGCAGGUAUUGAUAAGGGUUUCACGAGAUUGCUUUGGAAAAAUGUGCUUCUGUUUUCGAUUGUUAUUCAUAGACCACCGGAGUUGGGAUGUCUUCUACAUAUUUGGGUCCAUCAAAGCUUUCGUGGGGACAUUUUGUGACGGGAAAACCGUCUCCAUUAGUUGUACACAUCAGCCAUGACCCUCUUUAACACCAGAAACAUCCGUUUAGAUUCCUUUGAUUGAGCGCAUUCAUUUCGAUACAGACCUUCACUAUGUGAAUAAUGUUCUACCCAGUGCCAAGGGAUGCUGUGAAUCAUCAUCACAGUUGCUCUGUUUCCUCUGACAUAGCAAUUAAGAAUACAUAACAUGAAUAUGUGUAUAUAGGAGCAACCCAGACCUUGUGUUGUUUGCUAAAUACUGAAGAUGUAAUUUAUCAAUUACAUAAUCCUGGUAGUGACAUACUGAAACGCGUGUAGGUUUUAUAAGCAUAAAAUGCUGUUUUUCGUAUUUAAUUAAUUCUAAUGUGUAUGUGUGUGUGUGUGUGUGUGUGUGUGUGUGUGUGUGUGUGCGUGUUUGUGUGUGUGCGCGUGCAUGUCUUUGUGUGUUCGUCUGUGCGCGCAUGUGUAUGAGUGGUAUGUAUAUAUGUAAAGGGAGAGAAGCGUGACAGACCGACAGAUUUAUAGAAACACAGUCAGAUAGGGAGAUAGGUAAUCACAUAUACCCAGGCAUACGCCAUGCACUCAAACACACACAAGGAGAGACUUCUGUUCGGGCAUAUACAAGAAUAUUAAAUGACAUAAGACUGUGUGCGAAUGCACCGUGCCAAGGUCUCUGCACACAUGCUAAAGUAUGUACCCGCAUACAAAACAGUUGAUUGUUAUUAUCCAUUAGUGAGAAAAGCAAUUUAUCAAUUACUGAAGUACAUAGAAUAGUUUAAAAUAGCUUAAAAUUAACUAAGAAAUCAAGGAAAUAUUUUCUUCAUACUCAUAUAAUCUAUAUUUCCUCAUGCUCACAUUGAAACGCACUGAUACAGCAACGCACACAAAGAUAGAUCUAUCUAUCUAUCUAUCUAUCUAUCUAUCUAUCUAUCUAUCUAUCUAUCUAUCUAUCUAUCUAUAUAUAUAUAUAUAUAUAUAUAUAUAUAUAUAUCUAUCUAUCUAUCUAUCUAUCUAUCUAUCUAUAUAUAUAUAUAUAUAUAUAUAUAUAUAUAUACAUAUAUAUAUACAUAUAUGUAGUUAGAUAGAUAGAUAGAUACGUAUAUAUGUAUAUAUAUAUAUAUAUAUAUAUAUAUAUAUAUAUAUAUGUAAGUAUGCGUUUCUAUAUACAUGUACACUCACGCACGCGCACUCAUGGUUUUUCACACACAUAAACAAGGCUAUGCAAACAAAAGACACCCAUUAUAUAUCCUGAUUAGCACUGAAAUCAAUGCGGAUUCUUUAGAAAUUAUUACAACAAAUUAUGAAAAAAAAAAAUAAUAAUACAUAAAUAGAUAAAAAUAUAAAUAAAAUUAAUACUAGUUUCAUCCAAUUAUAAUGAUAUCAACGUGGAAAUAUAAUUGGCAUACGUAAAACAUGUGGGAGUGUGUGUUUAUAAAAAUAUAUUUUUAUAUAUAUAUAUAUGUAUAUAUAUAUAUAUAUAUAUGUAUGUAUAUAUAUGUAUAUAUAUGUAUAUAUGUACAUAUAUAUACAUAUAUAUAUAUAUAUAUAUAUAUAUAUAUAUAUAUAUAUAUAUAUAUAUAUACAUACAUAUAUAUAUAUAUAUAUAUAUACAUAUAUAUAUAUAUAAAAUAUAUAUAUAUAUAUAUAUAUAUAUAUGUAUAUAUAUGUACCUUUGUUACUUUAAUUAUUAUAAUUCUUCCUAUAAGGAAGAAGGUGUUACUUCAGAAAGGAAUAAUGCUCUACUACUGUGAUUCUGUUGAGAAAAAUCGAUGUAUGGUACAUGUGAAAUUUAGGAAAAAUCGUGCAUAUUAUUCCUGACUCCCCGGCAGAUUGUAAUUCUAAAAUAAGUGUUCGCUGGUCAGUUGCUUGCUUGGAAACUGUUGCUCUUCCAUAUUUACCACCUACAUUUAUUAUAUAGCGGAUUACACAACUAAUUACGUAUGUGCAUAUAUGUGUGUAUAAUUCCCAGAUGAGAAUCGGAUAUCCUCCGUAUAGAAUACACCUAGUAGUGGUCAAAAGAUUUAAACUUGAACAGGUAAAAUGGUAAAUGGAAGGAUAAGCAAGUUAGGCAGCUCUAUAUACAAAGAAUAUUUAAUAAACUAAGUAUAAAACGUGUACAUACGUUUAGUGACAAAAAAGUCCGAAAUACUCAAAAUACUAAUGACAUCAAGAAUUAAAGGUUACAAAUCCAACGCACACACAUAACACACUCACACACACAUAAAUAUUCGUUAGUUUGUAUCUAUCGAACUAUGUAAAUUGCAUUCUUUCCAUUGUAACCGAUGGAAAGUAUAGUUCUACAUUUAAAAGAUGAGGAAUUAUGUACACUAUUUACAUUCGACGGCUAUUUGUCCUCAUCAUGUUUGCUGUUAACACAACGUUUCGGUUGAUAUACCUUCCAGCCUUCUUCAGGUGUCUUGGGGGAAAUUUCGAACCUGGGUUCUCAUUCGUAAGGUAUUUUUCGAUGUUAUUAUUAUUAUUAUUAUUAUUAUUAUUAUUAUUAUUAUUAUUAUUAUUAUUAUUGUUCAGGUCUCUGCUUGGAAUCGAACUCGGAAUCUUGGGGUUAGUAGCCCGCGCUCUGUCCUCAUCUCUUAAGCACUACGCCAUAUGUCGUGAGUAUAUGGCGUAGUGGUUAAGUGAUGAGGACAGAUAUCUGUCGAAUGUAAAUAAUCUAUGAUGGAAAGUAUCUUUUCAACUUUGUUAUGCUUUCUGUUAUUAUCUGUUGGGUGAUUCCCUUCGCAAUCGUUUCCUUUGACUGUCAUGCACACACACACACGCAAAUUUACACAAACACACACAAACACAGAUAUAUGUGUGAGUGAAAUUCAACGAUAAGUUCUCAAUAGACCAAAGUAGAGUUGGAUAAGAUAUAUUCAACGCUGAGUUCUUAUACUUAAAUAUACAUAUAUACUUAAUAUAUAUUAUAGUUACAUUUAUUCAUAUAUAAAUAUAUACGUGUGUUUGUAAAUGCAUGUGUUCGCAUGUGUGUGUAUAAACUCCGUGAAAAUACUCGCUGUGGUUCGUAACAUUUUGUCUCACAAUAUAAUACUGUGCAGGUGAAUAUCUAUCUCUCAUUUGUUUUGAAGUGAAAAAAAAAAACGUGUUUUAUAGACCAAACUUGAUCAUGCCACAUAAACCCAUCGUCUGUGUAUAACAAAAAUUAAUCAAAAUUUGUCACGUAUGAAAUAUGCUCAUUUGAAAUAUGUAUAUGGCAUUUUUAUUAUAUAUUUUAUUUUACAGGUUCACAUGGAAGACGAUACGAAACUGAAGGCCACCCAUUUAUGUUCUUGUAUUGCGAGAGCAGAAUGCUACAGCAGCGAUUCAUGAGCUUCCAAGAUUAACACAUAUGCAUGCUUUUGGCUGAAGAAAUACAUGAAUCAUUGAAUAUUUUAAAAAUCAAGAAACCCUCAGCCGUUACUACUACUAAUAUUACUAGUACUACUAUUACGACGACAGCGGUGACUACUACUACUACUACUACUACUACUACUACUACUACUACUACUACUACUACUACCAUUACUACUACUACCAUUACUACUACUACCAUUACUACUACUGCUGCUGCUGCUGCUUCUACUAUUACUACUCCUACUGCUGCUUUACUUUUUCAUAUGCAUUUUAGCAAAACAUGAGGAGGCAAAAAUGGAACCCUUAGUCCUAAAUUCUACAAUUAAACUUUGUUGAUUCCUAAUUAUUAUUCUAUAAGGGUCUCACAGUUAGUAUAUUUAUAUUUAAUAACUUGGGCUCGUUGGUUUUAUAUAAAAGAAAAUUUAAACGGAAGAAAAACUGCAAAAAUAAAAAUAAAGAGAAACAUUUCUGUAGUAUCGGAAAUCUACAAACGAAAUUUGGAACUCCGAGCCAUAAAUGUGAUAUGAAAAGAUAAAGGAAAUAUCUAAUAAUAAUAAACGGCAGUUGACUGAAAACAAAUUGUAAUGUUAUAAAAAGCGCUUGUUUUAAAUAAAGUAUUUUGUGCCAAAUAUUUUACUGUGUUAUGAAGUGAAUUAAAGUACGUCAAAGACAACAAUAUGUAUAUAUAGAGAUGUGUGUGUGUAAACAUAUGUGUUUGUGUGUAAAAGUAUGUACGUAUGUAUGUAUUUAUGUAUGCUUCUCGUAGAUUUUCAUGUAUGCAUUUGUGAGUUUAUAUUUCUUCUUUCUUGUACUUUCUUCACAACUCUAGGGGAGAGGGAGGAAGGGGUAGAGUUGUUAUACUUCAGAUUGUUCGUCAUCUACGCCUUUCCAUUUUGUUCGAUGUAUGCCAUCGUCUAAAUAAUUCUCGCGUUAGAAAGAAAAUGCAUUUUAAAUCGCCUUAUACCUGUAUUCUGUAUACAUUGCGCAAACAGACAUUUACAUAAGGGUAUAACCACAAAUCCAUACAACUACGUAGAUUCACAC